rnacentral:rRNA from 1 species
UACGGAGGAUGCGAGCGUUAUCCGGAUUUAUUGGGUUUAAAGGGUGCGUAGGCGGUAUGGUAAGUCAGCGGUAAAAGCCCGGGGCUCAACCCCGGCGAGCCGUUGAAACUGGUGAUCUUGAGUGGGCGAGAAGUAUGCGGAAUGCGUGGUGUAGCGGUGAAAUGCAUAGAUAUCACGCAGAACCCCGAUUGCGAAGGCAGCAUACCGGCGCUCAACUGACGCUGAGGCACGAAAGUGCGGGGAUCGAACAGG